GGAAAGCAUUCCAUACCAAAAGAGGAAAGGAGCAGGGUACUUGCUGAUCUCCGCUUUAAAGACACUCUUUCAAAUUUUUGAAAAAAAACUGCAGCAUGAACCACACAACUUUGGCUUCUCUCAUCUCUCAGUGUGUUUUUCAACUAAUGGAAAGAAAACUGGAAAACAAAGUCAAAAAUGCUACAGAGGAGAAAAAUCCAAAAUCCAAACCAUAUGACAAUGCCUAUUUCUUCGUUCUCUUUGUCAUGAUGUUUUAUUCUUUCCUGGCAUUAACUGUCUUUUGGGGUUAUGUUCGCUCCAAGAAAGCCAUUUCAAAGAAAGAUCCUUACCAGGAGUUCAGUGAGGAUAAGUAUCAAGACAAGAAUGUGACCCAGUCCAUGGUGGAGAAGUAUGACUUUGAAGAAGAAAGUACACUUUGAACGAUGGAAACAAAGAUACUCUACUAAGCAUCCAGGAAUAUUUUGAUGGCAUCUAUCGAAAGGGAGAUGUUCGAAGUCACUUUAUUCAGUCAAGGUCCAGUUGGGUAAGCCCAUAUUGUCACCUAAGGGCAGGAGGUACACAGCAAAGAAGAAAAAAGCAACAGCUUUGGAAGGAAUAGGGACUUUAUAAGCCUUUGCUGGAUAAAAUUUGUUUCCUCUCCCUUCUUUCCUCUGUGCAUCUAAAAGGAACGGAAUCAAUAUUAACACAGUUACUAUUGUGGAGAUUUGGUAAUGGGAUUUCUUGGAUAUGCUUAUAUUCUUGUAAACUAUGUGUAGAAAAGGAAGAAAAAUGGUCUGAAUGAAGAGGGAUGAAUUGUUCAAAGGAAUUUGUCAUUGAGGACAUGAUCUACAAAGGCCAUGGUUUGUGCUUUUGAUAGGAAUAACACUAGAGUUAUCUGCUACCUGCAGUAAAGUGGAACAUAUUUUACUCUUCUAUAUGAACUAAUGCUGCUUAACAUGGAAAUAUAUCAAUUCCCUUCUGUGUGUUCUCCCCCAAUACUCCCCCCAGUCCGACUGAAUUCAUAUGUAAUGGCAAAAAUAUUAACACAACAUCUGCAAAACAUAAUUACAGUGCUGUUUUAUUUCCCUCCACUGGAAAGCUAUGGGCUGAAGGCUGACAUUUCCCCUCUCCCAGCACUUGGAAGUCUUCAUUUGUUUUCUUUCUGCACUCUUAUUCUUGGACAAUCAUGUGGAUUUUUGUGUGGCUUUGCAUGGCAGCUUCAAGCUCCAGCAUUUCCCAUUGACUGGAUCCUCAAGAGACAUACUUUACUUUUCUACCUUCUGAGAUUCAAGGGGACAUACAGCUCCAUGACUUGCAGCCUUACAAUAUGA
rnacentral:lncRNA from 1 species